AUUGAACGCUGGCGGCAUGCUUUACACAUGCAAGUCGAACGGUAACAGGCCGCAAGGUGCUGACGAGUGGCGAACGGGUGAGUAAUGCAUCGGAACGUGCCCAGUCGUGGGGGAUAACGCAGCGAAAGCUGCGCUAAUACCGCAUACGAUCUCUGGAUGAAAGCGGGGGACCGAAAGGCCUCGCGCGAUUGGAGCGGCCGAUGUCAGAUUAGGUAGUUGGUGGGGUAAAGGCUCACCAAGCCAACGAUCUGUAGCUGGUCUGAGAGGACGACCAGCCACACUGGAACUGAGACGCGGCCCAGACUCUUACGGGAGGCAGCAGUGGGGAAUUUUGGACAAUGGGCGCAAGCCUGAUCCAGCAAUGCCGAGUGCAGGAAGAAGGCCUUCGGGUUGUAAACUGCUUUUGUACGGAACGAAACGGUCCUGGUUAAUACCUGGGGCUAAUGACGGUACCGUAAGAAUAAGCACCGGCUAACUACGUGCCAGCAGCCGCCGUAACAC
rnacentral:rRNA from 1 species